UUCUGCACCUCCACAGGGUACCUCAUAAAAAGUUUCAGUGUGAACCCGUUAUAUGAAAAUCUUUCUAAGCUUUGCACACACACACACACACACACACACACACACACACACACACACACACACACACACACACACACACACACAUAAUUUGAAUCUGACUACAAGGUUGAACUGAACCAUCUGUAGUCCACACAUUUGCAAAAAAGACAUCUCAACACUCCUCUGAGAAUCAAGUAUCUUGGUUUAUAGUUUGUUUUUUUUAUUCUGUCUCACACUGACAGCAGUCCUCCCACAAAUGUUUUUUUUUUUUUUCACCCCACUGUAGAGAUAGGGGAGGAUGAAUAAAGAAGGAACUGAGGAGUGAAAAUACAAGAUCUUUGAGUGGAGCGCCAAGCACAGAUUUCUUCUUCUAUUAUUAUGAAUGUUUCCUAAAUGCUCUCUCGUGCUCUAAGUACAAAUAAACGUUUCCGUCUCGCUGCUUUUUCUGACUGUGUAUUCCAGCAGGAAGGGCCUUCUUGUUCGAUGGCGGCGCCGUCAUCCGAGGAUCGCACAUACGUUCCAGAAAGGAAGCCGAGUUGAGGUAACAAAACUAGAGUGAGAUUGAGGCACUAUGUUUUUGCUUAACAUAUCACUCUGAUGAUAUCCGACAGAAAAGCUGUCGUUUGUUGAUUGUUGAUUAGAUGUUGAUUUCCUUUCACAGCAACAUCAUCACACAGGGAAACUUUAACACUGCAUAUCUGCAACGCAGCGCCAGUAACACUCAAGUACCUCUUGUUCUCUGUGUUCAACAAGUCAGUACAGGCAUAACAAGUGUUCUUCAUGGACACAUAAAAAUACACAAGGGCUGUUUCGAAAGCUGUUACCAUGGUAAUUUAGCUUCAAAACAGGGCUCUUGGCAGGAGCUUUUGGUCAUGGAAAAAAAAAAGAAAAAAUGGUAACAGAUCAUGUUUUAAAAAACUUGAAAUCUUGUAGGGCUGGCAAAUCAGAGGGCAUUAAAGACCAAGAAUAAACUUUGUACUGAGGAACAUUUUCAAAUGAGGGUUACUGCAGGUCAAGAACAGGACAUUUGAUCACUACAGCCCAGAGAGCUCGCUGUCAAAAAGCCAUAAAACAGUUUCACUACACAGCCCCGGGUUUAGUUGAGUUGUCUCAGACUUUAAGGGGACUGCGUUUUACAAAGUCCACAACUUAUGAGCAAGAUAUUUAUCCUGUUUGAACAAGUGACCAGGUGAGACAGACACUUUGGGAUGUUUCAUACACGUAUCUUAUCUUGUGUUCCAGCCUUUAAAGUCUGACAUGGAUUUCAUAUAUAUAUAUAUAUAUAUUCAUUACUACUGCAUACACACUUUGCACUCACAUCACCAAAGCUGUUGUUAACAUAAGGCCACUCAAGCUGACUACAUAACCGAGCAACAAAUACUCUGCUGCAGAACAACAUCCUUUCAGCACACUCCCAGUCACACACAAACACACCAUCUACAGACUGUUAUCACUCUGCAGACUUUAAUCUAAGGCACAGUUUGUUUGUCACAGUUCAGGCUGGACUAACAUGGACUCAGGAUCUCUGCAGAUGAUGUCCUACUUUAACCUUGGAUCUCACUAACAAAUGUAAUUGAAUGUGUCCACAGGAGGCCUGUUUAGGUUCACAAACUAAACUCAGGGCAGGCUCAGUGUGCCACUGAUCUUUUUGCUCAGCAGGAGUUGGUGCAACAGUGAAGGCAAACCUGGUUUUGCCCUCAGUCAGUUAAUUUACUGAGACAGAAGGAUGCAAAUCCUUCUUUUUACUCUUACAUAGAAAGAUGAAUCGCAGACAAGGGCAUAAAGUUAUCUUUUUUGACAAAACACACUGGGAUGAAAUCGCUGCCAAGGUUGUGGGGACGUUUUUUUAAUGGAUUCAAUACAAUAAAAAAAAAGGUUAAGCGAGUUCGAUUAACUGUUUAACUUUACCUUUGUACAGAAAGAAGUCUGAAAUCAGUUUAGACUUAGACACUCCCAAAAAGUGUAAGGAGAACCUUAAACUGCAAACACAGAUAAUAUCUAUACUGCAGCGAGUCACCAGGGGGAGCUCUAGAUAUCAGGGCUUCAUGUGGCUGAUGUUUCUGUCUACAGUCAGUGAUGGUGAUUUUUUUUAGUUUGCAUAGUUUUAUCCUUCUGCUUUUUAAGUUCUGAGUGUCCAAGAAAAUAACCCAAUAAAUACUUUUUUUCAUUAUUUGUCCAAAAUUUAACAAAAACAAUUUGUUCUAAGGUGCAAAAACUUCACUAUGGCUCAACAACAUGUAUCUGCAAAGUCUAAUAAUUUGAAUCAAAGCUUUUCAAACUGGUUUAUCAAUUAAGUGUAAGAAAUAAUUUGACGCUGACCUUUCAUCAGUUUGUCUGAUUGUGUUGAAUAAGUUUAUUUAUUUAUUUAUUUAUAAAUUUGUGAUGUUUUUGAUUUGUUGACUGAAAUAUCGAUACAACUUCAUCCUUAAAAAAAAAAAAAAACGAAACACAAAUUUUGCUGCUAAAUUUUAACCAAUCAUCACCAUGAAACAGACGCACAGGGAUUCUGUCCGCCCACUGGUGAUAAGUAGUUGUCAUUACAGAGACCCACCCCUGAGGUUCUCUCUGGGUUUCCUUAGAUAACACAGCCACAGGUGAGGCAGGAGAAAACACCAAUGACACACCAGUUACUACACAAUACACCACACACUGCUGCACCGCACAUCCACACUACACUUACUGGUCCUUAUCAGGAUGCUCCAGCCAGCCCUUCAGAGGCUUGCUAAACACAGAUCACUGAAUACACCCAACUGAAUUAGUACACACAGGACUGCACACGUGCAUGCACACUAACUAACACACACAAACGCACAUUUCUGUGGCAAAGGUUUUCCUAUUUGCAUUUAGAUUUGAGAAUAUUACUCUAUGAUUCUCUUACUUUAUCUCGGCCGCCAGUCCUCAUGCCCCACCAGCUCCUUUUAAAAUUCCCCAUCUCACACCUGAGCAAAGUUUGACCAAGCAGGUACCCAGGUGAAACCAGGGGAACUUAUCUGCAGUCCUUUACAUUAACCAACCUGAACUCAACCAAUCAGAAAUUUAGUCAUCAAUACAUGUCAGUAGAUUUACACCUCAGUGUGCAGAGGUUUACAAAUGUACAAUACAGUCACUGUCUAUACUGCAUAAAAGAGCCAUAAGAAUAAUUCAUAAUACCAGUUAUAGAGAUCAUACAAAUUCACUGUUCUUAGAAUCAAAAACAUUAAAAUUCACUGACCUGGUUCACCUUCAAACAGCAUAAAUCAUGUACAAAGAAAUAAACAAUCUACUGCCUGGGAAUAUCCCAAAAUUAGAAUGAUCAUCUGAGGGGGGACUUUAACUGAGAGCAUCAGCGGGAAUGUACGACAUUAAAAAGUUUUUGUGAUUCUGUUUGUGGAGUAAGGUAGUGAAACAGAUCAGGUGUGGAGCUCAAGAAAUGUCCAAGGAUGACCCAGUUUAAAAAGCGGUACAAAAAGAUGGUUCUCACCAGGUACAGGGAGGAAGAAAGGUUGAUGAUUUAUGUACUUAUUUGCUAUAUUUAUGUUCUAUUUUGUGUUAAUAUAAUGUAAAUAUGUUGGAGACUGACUGUUUAUUAAGUAGAGGAGAAGGGGUAUGUAUGACUCAAAAACUUUCAACUGGAGCUGUAUUUCUUUUAAAGUAUUUUAGAAUUCUUGAUACAUUAAAAUUCCAACAGAAGUAUUUUGUCUUUAGCAACUUAACCCAAACAAUUGAAGUUUAAUGUUUUAUUAUUAUUUUUAAAAUGCAGAAAUUCAGGAGUCAGCCGACAACAACACUUAGCUCGCCAUCCCACAUACCACAGCACUGCCUCCAGAAACAAACCUCCCUCCACCUCCACAGCCUCCCCUGAAUGAGAACAUGAAUUUUGAAUUUGCCAGGAGGGUUAUAAGCUCAGGGACAGUGUGUGCUUGGAUGUGUUUCUGAGCAUCAUGCAGAAGAGCCAUUCUGUCAAACUAAACGAUAUAUUGCUGCAAAAACAUGUCUGUAACCCUGACUUGAGAGUCCUGACUGACAGUAAACCUCAAAGACGUAUCCAGCCUGUGUUGUCGAGACCUGAGUCUGUCUGCAGAUAGACAGAACAGUUCUGCAGAUCCGUGCCUGCAGGCUGGGAUAAUGCCAUCGCUGAUUGAAAUCUUUGACUCAGAUCUUGCCCCUGUUUGAAGUUGCAUGCCCCCUCACUGUGCGUGCAUUUUCUCUGGGUUGCAGGUGUCUGGUCAUGAUACAGCCCAAGGAACACGAGCACUGAUAAAAUGAACUAUUACCCACAAUUUGAUUGAACUGUCAGCAUCUCUCCGUUUUUUUGACAAACCUGACAGUGCUGUGUUUCUUUCUCUCCGUUUUAUGUUCCAACAAUAGACUCUCGCUGUAAUAGCCUCAGGAACGUGAUAAAAACAAGGUUGAUUCCUGUGUCCUCUAUUAUGUAUUCAUUAAGGAAACACAAUUUAAGGGACUUGCUUUUUGUCUACAGUGACAAAGCUUCUCUUUUGUGUGUAACACCUGAGAAACAAGCAUUUUUGGAUUAAAAAACAACAACUCUGCUGUGCCUGAGUUAUUUCGAGUUUUACUCAUGUUCUAAAUAAGUAGUGUGUGUUGUAGGGAGCAAAAGGCACCCCGUAGAAGAUCUAAGAGGGGUUACUUUUGGUCUGUCUGGCUCCCUUUUAAUACGGCUAAAUCACAAUAGAAACCUACUAUAUAUCCAACAUCUAUUCAGAUCCUGACCACUAUCAUUUCACGAGGAACAUCAGUAAGAUCCAAUACACAUAAUUACCAGGAAGAACAGUUUAAUAUGAAUCUUGAACCCUGUAGGACUCUAGGUCCAAUAUGCAAACAGCUCUGGACAGAGCCUUCAACCAGCACUCAUUCAUUUCAUUGAUAAGAUCAAACUUUUAAUGUUAAACUUUCAUGAAAAUACUCCUGAAGAGCAAUCGACAGGUGACAAUUGCAUCUUUGCAGGAGGAAGAAGUGUCAACUGUUACUUUGAGCAACCCAUUAAUAUAUGAGCACAGAUCUUAAGCUGUCAAAUCAGGAGCCACGGGGUCUCCUCCUGGUGAGACAUGUCUGGAACACCUCUAACGGGAGGCGUCCAGAAGGCGUCCUACCCAGAUGCCCGAGCCACCUCAGCUGACUCCUCUCGACGUGGAGGAGCAGUGGUUCUACUCUGAGCGCCUCCCGAGUGUCCGAGCUCCUUACCCUAUCUCUAAGGCUGAGCCCGGACACCCCGCGAAGGAAACCCAUUUCGGCCGCUUGUAUCCGUGAUCUUGUUCUUUCGGUCAUUACCCAAAAAUCAUGACCAUAGGUGAGAGUCGGCACGUAGAUCGACCGUUAAAUCAAGAGUCUUGCCUUACGUCUCAGCUCUUUCUUCACCACAACUGAUCGGUUAAGCGUCCGCAUCACUGCUGAAGCCGCUCCGAUCCACCUGUCGAUCUCCUAUUCCAUCCUACCCUCACUCGUUAACAAGAUCCCGAGCUACUUGGACUCCUCCUCUUGAGGCAGGACCGCCCCUCCGACCUGUAGAAGACAAUCUACCUUUAGUUUAGUUUUAAUUGUUGAUAAUCCAAAUUAUGAGCAAAUAAAGACUGAGCUGUCAAAAUGACUUCUUAUAGUCAUUCUAGUAGUUGCAGAAUUUUGUUAGACCAAGUAUUAAGACAUGUAACAAGGUGUUUGCUUGAAGUUUUCUGUAAAGCCCGAAGGGAAACGGACCAAAAUUGUAUGUAUGUUGAUGCUGUUUGGCAUUCAGGCCAUUAGUGAAGAUCAAACGUCUCUUUUCCCAAAGUGAGGAUUUCAUGUUUCUCCAAAUCUGCCUUCAGGAUAAGCAAGGAGAAGAUUAUUAAUGCCGUGAAAAGCAGAAAAGAAUUUCAACCUCCGGACACGUUAAAUGAAUCGAUGUUCUUGUCUGGAUUUAGCGUGUUUCUGUUUAGGUUCCCUGAGGAAAGUAGGCGCGUUUCACUGCUGCUUUGAGUGUGCGUGGAUAUGUGUUCCCAAACAGCUCAUUUCAGCAACAGCCUG